rnacentral:rRNA from 1 species
GACGAACGCUGGCGGCGUGCUUAACACAUGCAAGUCGAACGGAAAGGCCCUGCUCUUGUGGGGUGCUCGAGUGGCGAACGGGUGAGUAACACGUGAGUAACCUGCCCUUGACUUUGGGAUAACUUCAGGAAACUGGGGCUAAUACCGGAUAGGAGCUCCUGCUGCAUGGUGGGGGUUGGAAAGUUUCGGCGGUUGGGGAUGGACUCGCGGCUUAUCAGCUUGUUGGUGGGGUAGUGGCUUACCAAGGCUUUGACGGGUAGCCGGCCUGAGAGGGUGACCGGCCGCAUUGGGACUGAGAUACGGCCCAGACUCCUACGGGAGGCAGCAGUGGGGAAUAUUGCACAAUGGGCGGAAGCCUGAUGCAGCAACGCCGCGUGCGGGAUGACGGCCUUCGGGUUGUAAACCGCUUUCGCCUGUGACGAAGCGUGAGUGACGGUAAUGGGUAAAGAAGCACCGGCUAACUACGUG